rnacentral:sRNA from 2 species
UCCCCCUCACCUCACCUCACUUGACCGACCAAGUGAGAAACACCAACGACACAGCGAAUCCGGUUCCGUGCCCACAAGCCAACGAAAUGCAGAUCUCACGCUACGGAGAGAUGAACCGGUUCGCCCAUUCGUCAUGGCCUCGACGUGUGCAUGAAAGAUACUUUUCCAACAUCCGCAGUACGUUGUGCGUAACGCAGAAAUUAGGGCUAAAACCCAGCGUCUGGCGAAUAAGAAUGGAUUACAAACUCUAGCAGGUGGAGAUUGCCUUUUUUUUUUUUUUUUGUUUGCGGGUGGCCAUACUAGCGAAUCAAUCAUUGGGGGAAAUCGAUAGCAUGAUAUGGACCAUUCUCACCGUUGGUUGUGGACGCUUGCGCCUGUGUGGCUGACAGGUGUUUUGUGGGUGACACAGAUAUAGGCUUCCUAUUUUUGUAUGAGGAAUAGUUGUUUAUCGGUUUGAAUGUUUUCAUGCCUGCCUUUGCUGCGGUUUCGUGUUACCGGGUUCUAUAAAGCAAAUAUGGUUUGAUCAUUAUCAUUAUAAAGUAGAGAAGCAGAUACAUUCUCCAGUAGAUACAUUAUUGCAGGCCAGCAGUGGUGCCUUCCACGCCAGAAAACAGGAGUUGUAUUUAUAUACGGUGUAAAUUGAUAAAAGCAAAGGAAAACAAGAAAACAAGAAAACCUAGGUAUAUGUACGUAAAUAUGCAAAGCUAUAUCCCCCCGGCUAAUGAGGUCAUGGCAUGACGGUAGCAGGCAAAAAUUCAAUACAAAAGGAAACUAGAGUGGUGCAGGACAGACGAACAAAAGUAGCGUCGUGGAGAGAGAUCAAAAUAUCACAUAGAUACAAGCACGUCCCUCUGCUGUGGCUGCAUCUUAGAAUAUGGUAAUAAUGGUAGAAAUCCAACAACCUGGGGCCCAACCCAACACCUCAUCGUAAAGAAAUCAUAUCAUAUCCCACACCAAAACCAGAACACCGGGCCAUAUAUGUAUAUAGAUAUAUAUAUUUAUAUAUAUAUAUAAUCCAAAACUCCCGGCGUUAGUGCAGAAAACAGCAAAGAAAAGUAAAGGUAAAGAAGGAUGGUUAUGCAAGUCCAGGAUAAAUCCUGCCUGGAAUAUAGAGAGCACUGGUGGAGGAGGGAAAGCUCGUCAUAUUGGGACGAAAACAUCCGGAGUGAGGGGGAUGGGGAUGCGCAUGGCUGUCGGGUAGUUUCUGAUCGGAUCAAUGUCGGUGUGUGAUAGGCGUGAGACACUCCUUUGUGCCUCUGGUGUAGUGUGAUUAAUACACUGAGGACGCGCGACAAUAGCGUUAUUGCAUAGCAAAAAUAUGCCGACUUCAAGGAGAACCGGUCGGGGGUAUGAUGGCGAGGUAGAAUGAUAGGUUGGGAGGGGAUAUGUGGGUGGUUUGGUGUUCGAGUAAUGUUUAUAGAGGGAUGUUAAGUGCUGUCGAGCAAGAAUAUGGUAUGAGUAUACAAUAAUUCUGUUUCGCUCCGAGUCAUUUAUUCACUUGUUUUCCUUCGCUUGCCUUUUGGCGCUGGAUCCAGUGGGGUGCGUUUGUAGGUUACUGUGCGGGUGAUAACAUGUCGAACGCAAACAGAUCGUCCAGAUGCGCUUCGCGGAGGAUCGAAGUAGCGAGCGCCUGGCGAGCCGCACCAGUCUGACGGAGAAAACUGCGACCGUGCUGAUGUGCACGAUGCACUCUUGGGAGAUGUUGCACUCAUGGGUGAGCGUAUGCUGGG